rnacentral:rRNA from 1 species
UGGGGAAUUUUGGACAAUGGGCGAAAGCCUGAUCCAGCCAUGCCGCGUGAGUGAAGAAGGCCUUCGGGUUGUAAAGCUCUUUUAGUCGGAAAGAAAGAUUUGCAUUGAAUAAUUGGGAUUUAUGACGGUACCGACAGAAAAAGCACCGGCUAACUACGUGCCAGCAGCCGCGGUAAUACGUAGGGUGCGAGCGUUAAUCGGAAUUACUGGGCGUAAAGGGUGCGCAGGCGGUCUUGCAAGUCAGAUGUGAAAGCCCCGGGCUUAACCUGGGAAUUGCGUUUGAAACUACAAGGCUAGAGUGCAGCAGAGGGGAGUGGAAUUCCAUGUGUAGCAGUGAAAUGCGUAGAGAUGUGGAAGAACACCGAUGGCGAAGGCAGCUCCCUGGGUUGACACUGACGCUCAUGCACGAAAGCGCGGGGAGCAAACA